rnacentral:tRNA from 1 species
GCCUGGGUGGCUCAGUUGGUUGAGUGUCUGACUUUGGCUCAGGUCAUGAUCUCGCUGUCUGUGAGUUCUAGCCCCGCGUCAGGCU